GAUGAAGAACGCAGCGAAAUGCGAUAAGUAGUGUGAAUUGCAGAAUUCAGUGAAUCAUCGAAUCUUUGAACGCACAUUGCGCCCCUUGGUAUUCCAUGGGGCAUGCCUGUUCGAGCGUCAUUUGUACCUUCAAGCUCUGCUUGGUGUUGGGUGUUUGUCUCGCCUCUGCGUGUAGACUCGCCUCAAAACAAUUGGCAGCCGGCGUAUUGAUUUCGGAGCGCAGUACAUCUCGCGCUUUGCACUCAUAACGACGACGUCCAAAAGUACAUUUUUACACUCUUGACCUCGGAUCAGGUAGGGAUACCCGCUGAACUUAAGCAUAUCAGUAAGCGGAGGA
rnacentral:misc_RNA from 1 species